rnacentral:rRNA from 1 species
AGUGAACGCUGGCGGUAGGCCUAACACAUGCAAGUCGAACGGCAGCACAGUAAGAGCUUGCUCUUACGGGUGGCGAGUGGCGGACGGGUGAGGAAUACAUCGGAAUCUACUUUUUCGUGGGGGAUAACGUAGGGAAACUUACGCUAAUACCGCAUACGACCUACGGGUGAAAGCAGGGGAUCUUCGGACCUUGCGCGAUUGAAUGAGCCGAUGCCGGAUUAGCUAGUUGGCGGGGUAAAGGCCCACCAAGGCGACGAUCCGUAGCUGGUCUGAGAGGAUGAUCAGCCACACUGGAGCUGAGACACGGUCCAGACUCCUACGGGAGGCAGCAGUGGGGAAUAUUGGACAAUGGGCGCAAGCCUGAUCCAGCCAUACCGCGUGGGUGAAGAAGGCCUUCGGGUUGUAAAGCCCUUUUGUUGGGAAAGAAAAGCAGCAGGUUAAUACCCCGCUGUUCUGACGGUACCCAAAGAAUAAGCACCGGCUAACUUCGUG